AAACCAGCCCCAGGACCGACCCCUAGGGCACUCCGCUUGAUACCGGCUGCCAACUAGACAUCGAGCCAUUAAGCACUACCCAUUGAGUCUGACAAUCAAGCCAGAUUUCUAUCGACCUUAUAGUCCAUUCAUCCAAUCCAUACUUCUUUCACUUGCUGGCAAAA